rnacentral:rRNA from 1 species
CCUACGGGUGGCAGCAGUGAGGAAUAUUGGUCAAUGGGCGCGAGCCUGAACCAGCCAAGUCGCGUGAGGGAAGACGGUCCUAUGGAUUGUAAACCUCUUUUGUCGGGGAGCAAAAGACGCCACGCGUGGCGUUCCGAGAGUACCCGAAGAAAAAGCAUCGGCUAACUCCGUGCCAGCAGCCGCGGUAAUACGGAGGAUGCGAGCGUUAUCCGGAUGUCGUGGGUUUAAGGGGGGCGCAGGCGGAAGAUCAAGUCAGCGGUAAACUUGGGAGGCUCAACCUCUUCGAGCCGUUGAAGCUGGUUUUCUUGAGUGAGUGAGAAGUAUGCGGAAUGCGUGGUGUAGCGGUGAAAUGCAUAGAUAUCACGCAGAACUCCGAUUGCGAAGGCAGCAUACCGGCGCUCAACUGACGCUCAUGCACGAAAGUGUGGGUAUCGAACAGGAUUAGAUACCCCUGUAGUC